GAUGAACGCUGGCGGCGUGCCUAAUACAUGCAAGUCGAGCGAAUGGAUUAAGAGCUUGCUCUUAUGAAGUUAGCGGCGGACGGGUGAGUAACACGUGGGUAACCUGCCCAUAAGACUGGGAUAACUCCGGGAAACCGGGGCUAAUACCGGAUAACAUUUUGAACCGCAUGGUUCGAAAUUGAAAGGCGGCUUCGGCUGUCACUUAUGGAUGGACCCGCGUCGCAUUAGCUAGUUGGUGAGGUAACGGCUCACCAAGGCAACGAUGCGUAGCCGACCUGAGAGGGUGAGCGGCCACACUGGGACUGAGACACGGCGCAGACUCCUACGGGAGGCAGCAGGAGGGAAUCUUCCGCAAUGGACGAAAGUCUGACGGAGCAACGCCGCGUGAGUGAUGAAGGCUUUCGGGUCGUAAAACUCUGUUGUUAGGGAAGAACAAGUGCUAGUUGAAUAAGCUGGCACCUUGACGGUACCUAACCAGAAAGCCACGGCUAACUACGUGCCAGCCGCCGCGGUAA
rnacentral:rRNA from 1 species